UCCUUGGAGGACUAGUGGUUAGGCUUCGGUGCUCUCACCGCCACGGCCUGAGUUCGAUCCCUGGCCAGGGAA
rnacentral:tRNA from 1 species